AAGUAAAUUAAUCUAAGGGCAGAUGGUGGAUGCCUAGACCAGGAGAGGCGAAGAAGGACGUACUAGGCUGCGAUAAGCCGGGGGGAGCUGCCAAGAAGCUUUGAUCCCCGGGUUUCCGAAUGGGGCAACCCGGCAUGGCGCGAGUCAUGUCACUCUUUUUAAGAGAGCGAACGCAGGGAAGUGAAACAUCUCAGUACCUGCAGGAAAAGAAAUCAACCGAGAUUCCCAAAGUAGCGGCGAGCGAAAUGGGAUUAGCCCUAAACUCUGUGGGGUGUUAGUAGAAUAAGCUGGAAUGCUUGACCGUAGAGGGUGAAAGUCCCGUAUACGAAAACUAACCAUGGACUAUUCGAGUAGGUCGGGACACGUGUAACCCUGACUGAAUAUGGGAGGACCACCUUCCAAGGCUAAAUACUACUCCAGGAUCGAUAGUGAACCAGUACCGUGAGGGAAAGGUGAAAAGAACCGCGGCAAGCGGAGUGAAAUAGAACCUGAAACCAUCUGCCUACAAUCAUUCAGAGCCCUAUGCUAUACGCAGGGUGAUGGACUGCCUUUUGCAUAAUGAGCCUGCGAGUUAUGGUGACUAGCAAGGUUAAUCAAACGAGAAGCCGUAGCGAAAGCGAGUCUGAAUAGGGCGCCAAGUUAGUUGCUGUAGACCCGAAACUAAGUGAUCUAUCCAUGGGCAGGUUGAAGCUGGUGUAAGAGCUAGUGGAGGACCGAACGGGUGAAGGUUUAAAACUUCUCCGAUGACCUGUGGAUAGGGGUGAAAGGCCAAUCAAACUUAGUGAUAGCUGGUUCUCUCCGAAAUAUAUUUAGGUAUAGCGUCAUGUUCGAAAUACAGGGGGGUAGAGCACUGAUUGGGCUAGGGCCUACACCAAGGUACCAAACCCAGUCAAACUCCGAAUACCCUAUAUGAAUUCAUGGCAGUCAGGUGGUGGGUGAUAAAAUCCAUCAUCGAAAGGGAAACAGCCCAGACUACCAGCUAAGGUCCCAAAGUUCUAUUUAAGUGGAAAAGGAUGUGGAGUUGCUUAGACAACCAGGAGGUUGGCUUAGAAGCAGCCAUCCUUUAAAGAAAGCGUAACAGCUCACUGGUCUAGCGAUUCUGCGCCGAAAAUAUAACGGGGCUAAAAUAGACACCGAAGCUGUAGAUUCACACAUUAGUGUGAGUGGUAGGAGAGCGUUCCAGUCAGCAUUGAAGCCAUACCGGUAAGGAGUGGUGGAGCGGCUAGAAGUGAGCAUGCAGGCAUGAGUAGCGAUAAAACGGGUGAGAAUCCCGUUCGCCGAAAACCCAAGGGUUCCUACACGAUGCUCGUCAAUGUAGGGUUAGUCGGGUCCUAAGCUGAGUCCGAAAGGGGUAAGCGAUGGCAAAUUGGUUAAUAUUCCAAUACCAACUGAUAGUUUAGUACGAAGGGGGGACGCAUAGGGUUAAACGAGGUCACUGAUGGAAUAGUGGCUCGAAGGGUGUAGAUAAGCCGGAUAGGAAAAUCCGCCGGCUGUUUUCGAGACCUGACAGGCUGAUGACGCUCUUCGGAGAGGAUUCAGAAUCGUUGAUACCGUCGUGCCAAGAAAAGCCUCUAAGUGUAUUAUUAGUUGCCCGUACCGUAAACCGACACAGGUGGGUGAGAUGAGUAUUCUAAGGCGCGUGGAAGAACCCUGGUUAAGGAACUCUGCAAACUAGCACCGUAACUUCGGAAUAAGGUGUGCCUCCUGCUGUAUAGGACUUCGCGUCCGAAAGCGGCAGAGGUUGCAACAAAGAGUCCCUCCCGACUGUUUAUCAAAAACACAGCACUUUGCUAACUCGCAAGAGGAUGUAUAAGGUGUGACGCCUGCCCGGUGCUUGAAGGUUAAUUGAUGGGGUUAGUUCUUCGGAACGAAGCUCUUGAUCGAAGCCCAAGUAAACGGCGGCCGUAACUAUAACGGUCCUAAGGUAGCGAAAUUCCUUGUCGGUUAAAUACCGACCUGCAUGAAUGGCGUAACGAGAUGGGAGCUGUCUCGACCAGGGAUCCAGUGAAAUUGUAGUGGAGGUGAAAAUUCCUCCUACCCGCGGCAAGACGGAAAGACCCCGUGCACCUUUACUAUAGCUUGACACUGCAAUUGGGAUAUAUUUGUGCAGGAUAGGUGGGAGGCUUUGAUGGUGUGGCGCUAGCUGCAUCGGAGCCAUCCUUGAGAUACCACCCUUAUAUAUUCUGAUUGCUAACUUGCGCCGGUUAUCCCGGCGGAGGACAAUGUCUGGUGGGUAGUUUGACUGGGGCGGUCGCCUCCUAAAAAGUAACGGAGGCUUACAAAGGUUGGCUCAUAUCGGUUGGAAAUCGAUAGCAGAGUAUAAUGGUACAAGCCAGCUUAACUGCGAGACGUACAUGUCGAGCAGAGACGAAAGUCGGUCAUAGUGAUCCGGUGGUUCUGUGUGGAAGGGCCAUCGCUCAAAGGAUAAAAGGUACGCCGGGGAUAACAGGCUGAUCUCCCCCAAGAGCUCACAUCGACGGGGAGGUUUGGCACCUCGAUGUCGGCUCAUCGCAUCCUGGGGCUGAAGCAGGUCCCAAGGGUAUGGCUGUUCGCCAUUUAAAGCGGUACGCGAGCUGGGUUCAGAACGUCGUGAGACAGUUCGGUCCCUAUCUGCCGUGGGCGUUGGAAGAUUGAGGAGAGUUGCCCCUAGUACGAGAGGACCGGGGUGAACGAACCACUGGUGUACCAGUUGUCCUGCCAAGGGCAUCGCUGGGUAGCUAUGUUCGGAUGUGAUAACCGCUGAAAGCAUCUAAGCGGGAAGCCAACUCCAAGAUGAAUCUUCCCUGAAGAUCCGCAGAAGACUACUGCGUUGAUAGGCUGGGUGUGUAAGUGUUGAAAGACAUUUAGCUGACCAGUACUAAUAGAUCGUUCGUAUUUACUUUAU
rnacentral:rRNA from 1 species